AUUGAACGCUGGCGGAAUGCUUUACACAUGCAAGUCGAACGGCAGCACGGGGCAACCUGGUGGCGAGUGGCGAACGGGUGAGUAAUACAUCGGAACGUGCCCAAUCGUGGGGGAUAACGUAGCGAAGUUACGCUAAUACCGCAUACGAUCUACGGAUGAAAGCGGGGGAUCGCAAGACCUCGCGCGAAUGGAGCGGCCGAUGUCAGAUUAGGUAGUUGGUGGGGUAAAGGCUCACCAAGCCGACGAUCUGUAGCUGGUCUGAGAGGACGACCAGCCACACUGGGACUGAGACACGGCCCAGACUCCUACGGGAGGCAGCAGUGGGAAUUUUGGACAAUGGGCGCAAGCCUGAUCCAGCCAUUCCGCGUGCAGGAUGAAGGCCUUCGGGUCGUAAACUGCUUUUGUACGGAACGAAACGGUUACGUCUCUAAUACAGGGGCGUAAUGACGGUACCGUAAGAAUAAGCACCGGCUAACUACGUGCCAGCAGCCGCGGUAAU
rnacentral:rRNA from 1 species